AUUGAACGCUGGCGGCAUGCCUUACACAUGCAAGUCGAACGGCAGCAUGGAAGAGCUUGCUCUUCUGAUGGCGAGUGGCGAACGGGUGAGUAAAGCAUCGGAACGUACCGUGUAGUGGGGGAUAACGUAGCGAAAGUUACGCUAAUACCGCAUACGCACUGAGGUGGAAAGCAGGGGAUCGCAAGACCUUGCGCUAUACGAGCGGCCGAUGUCAGAUUAGCUAGUUGGUAGGGUAAAGGCCUACCAAGGCGACGAUCUGUAGCGGGUCUGAGAGGAUGAUCCGCCACACUGGGACUGAGACACGGCCCAGACUCCUACGGGAGGCAGCAGUAGGGAAUUUUGCGCAAUGGACGGAAGUCUGACGCAGCAACGCCGCGUGAAGGAUGACGGCCUUCGGGUUGUAAACUUCUGUUUGGAUUGGGAAAAAAGCCUAAGGAAUAGGAAUUGAUGGUACCAUUCGAGUAAGCACCGGCUAACUACGUGCC
rnacentral:rRNA from 1 species